UCCAUUUCAUUUGUAAAGGAACAGAUCUGUCGAUGCAUUGCAGCUGUUUUGACACAUUUUAUAAUGUUAAUCCGAUCGCUGUCGGUCUUGUCAACCCCGAAUCAUUUCCAUGCUAGGGACUAAGACGAGAGAGUCUUCCAUUUUCUCAAAUUUCCUAAAUCAAAAACAAUCCCGUCUCUCGCUUGGCUGGUCCCACAGAGUCCCAUAGCUGAAACCUGCCCGCCGAUUCUCAGAAGGAAGGUUUAUCGUUUCUUUCUCCUUUGCUGUCAUUGCCUGCUGAUUCGCGAAUGAGGAUUACCUCCUACUUUGUAGCCAACUGAUGGACUCGUGUGUUUCUUAUCGUGACUGUAUUAAUAUUCAAUAGUGUAAAAUUGCGCUUUGUAAAAGCAGCUUUGAUGAUAUCUCUGAUCUUAUUUAUCCCCCACACCCACGCUGCCUACUACUGUCCAUGUAGAAAGAGAUACAGUAUAAAUGUUAUUUUAAUUCUGCUUGUUUUUUUUAAUCUCUUAGAAUAAAUCAGAUCGCUGCUUUUAAUUGUUUUAAAUAUUAAUGGUUGAAUAUUUCUCCCAUUUUUUACCCGACUUUUUUUCAUGCUUGAAAACGAAGCCACUUUCAGAGAUGUGUCCGCAUUAUCAUGAUGCCUGUCUGACCAGAAUUUAAUUCUUCACUGGUUCAGCAGGUGCUGAAAUCCUUGCUCAGAAUGCAUUACUCGGCAAAAGCCACAGCUACUUUGAUUCAAUUUUUCCUCAAAUGCAUUUUGACACAGUGCUGCCUCUUGUGUCUUGAGGCUUCUCAAAGCAUUUUCCAAAGGGAGGAACAUUUUGAGUUUUGUUGUAGCCCAUUUAUUUUUGGUUUACAUGUCAACACUGCUUUAGACUCUGGAAACAAAAACGUGUCAAAAUAGAAUUUCGAAGUGUGUGGGGGUUUUUGGGGGUUUUUUUUGUGUGUGUCAAGACUGAAAACCACCUGCCAUGUGUUUUAUGUGUCAAGACUAGGCAUACAAUUGUGCUUGUCAACCAAAAACAUAUUUUGGGAUAAGACCAAGAUAUGUUAAUACAUAGAACCCAUUUUUUAAAUAUAGUCUAUCUUCGUGACAUCUUCUACUACUGGCCUGGCAUGCAUGUUCGUGUUUUUUUUUUUGUUUGUUUUUUUUUUUGCACAUGUAUGGGCAUUAUGUUGUUAACAUUUGUGGGUGAAACAUUCCACACACACCCACAAAGGAAACGCUUUGUUUUUUUCCAAAUUAUUACUAAACAUACCUAUAGCAUGCGUAUACCUGCACACAAUGACCCCGGUCAUGUUUGUCAAGUGUUAGCAAGAAAUUGUACAUCAUGUUCCCUUUCUUUUUGACUGUUGUAUACUACUAUCACUUACAAACAUAAAACUCCACCAGCUCUUAUCUGAACCUGUCUCAGGCAGUCUGGUCACUGGUGCAAUUCAGUUUUUCACAACUAAAAUGUGAGGAAACCUUUGUUGGACUUUUCACAGUCUUCACUUAUGAUCUUAAGCUUUUAGUGAAUGAGAGCUACAUUUAUUCUUGCACUGUCUUUGUCAUUGGCCAUUUUAAUAGUUGCUCUACUGUGCCGUAAUACAAUGCUUUGUUUUAAUACAGAUACUGGAACCAUACCAUCAUGUGGACAAAAACCUUCUGCACUGUAAUGGAAGUUAGAACAUGGAAACGACCACUGCCUGGUAGUUGUUCUGUAGGCCGAUGUCACGUUCACCGAAAUUAUUUGACGCUCCAAGCUAAUGUAUGAUUCGUAAUGAGAAAUAUGCCAAGAUUUUCAACAUAUUGCACAAAAUCAAUUUUCAUGUAAAGCAGGAUUUCGGCAUAGGAAAAAGAUAAUAAGAGAUAAAUAAAAAUAAUUAGUGGAA